UUGACGUUUUACACUUUGAGAGAGUUGACCAAUGUCAUCACUUAGGGCUUCCACAUAUCAAAUAUUGAUGAUUUCCACAAGACACAUGCACUUCCAUAUCACAGAUCAUUCAUGGAUGAUUCGAGGGAUAGAUAAUAGCAAAGAUAAGAAGCCUCUCUACUCAUAAUUCAUAAGCUUGCUAGUUCUCAAUCUAAAUAGGUAACACUUUGAAAGGAAAAUGAAUCUUGAGCUAUUACUCAUUUCCCGGAUCAAGAGACUACCAGCUUUUUUCCAAACAAUCCAAGAUGCCAUUUAAUUAUAUGAAGACAGCAUUUGUUUCCAGUUUUAAGGAGGUCAACGGAUGCUCCAUUUUCAGGCAUGGAACACACAUUUCGAAAAGCACAGAAAUCAGGAAGACGAGAGAGAGAGAGAAUCAAGCAUUUUGCAUUAAGGUACAUAAUCUAAAGCCUAAUGAGAAACAAA
rnacentral:misc_RNA from 1 species